AACUUGGCGUCAUUUUGAUAUCAAUACUUUUGAGUAACUUGGCAUUUUUGUACGUUGAAAACGUGUUUUUUAUGAGAUUGAAUUUACAGUAAUUAACUGGAAAUUGCAAAGGAUAUUGGGAAGCCAUUGGUUAGUAGUGGCGGGAGAGAGAAUUUGCUAACAAAGCAAUGCAAAGUUUCGAGUGUCUCACCUAAUUAAGUAAAAGGCUGCGCAAAUGUAAAACUAAUUAUAUUACAAUUUAUUCGUUUUUGAUUUCCAACAUGAUCUGUAUUUCACAUUAAUCUUCUUGUUCUUUUCCAAGACAACCCUGUAUUUCGAGUAUUUUUUGUUGCAGCUGGCUAGAGGGUCGUCGAUUGCGCAGGUAGGCUACGUGCAUUUCAAAUUCAUUAAACUAGUUAGUAUCAUAACGGCCAAACAUUCGCCAGCGAUAGCUUAGUAUGAAAGCAUGUUUCCAUGUCAGUAUUGUGGUCACCAAUGCUUAACGAAGUAUGCGUUUCUUAGGCAUAUGAAUGUACAUGCGAGUCUUCCAAACGCGUCGUUUAAAUGCGCCUUUUUUGAUUGCACCCUUUCAUUCAGAAACAUAACACAGUUGAAAUGUCAUGUAUAUCGAGAUCAUCAAGAUAAGAGGAGAGCACAGGUAACUGCAAUAGAGUGUGUAUCUUGUCAUGUAGAAUUGUGCAGUGUUAGAUGCAAUGAUUUAUCCAGUUUAAAAUCUCAUUUAAAAUCUCAUAUCAGAGAAGGCAGGGCAGUUUCUUGUGGUCAUAAUUUAGAAGCAGAAACAAAUUUUUCCUCAGAGGGGGUGUACUCAUUUGCAACAUGGCUUUUUAUAAUGUUGGUUAAAAAAACAUACUGUCCUGUUUAGCAUUGCAAUAUUGCAGUGUUGCUGAAACACUACAUAAUAUAGGAACCCCAAAUAUAUUUUAUUUGUAAAGAGAUGUAGCUGGAUUUUCAUUUUUCAGAGAGGGUGUACUCAUUUAUGAUGUGCACUGUAACAUUGUUGUGUCCCAAACAUGGUGCCCUAAAAUUGGAGGGAUUAUGUAUAAAAAGGGCUGUAAUUCAUACACGGUUCACCCGAUAUGGAUGUAAAUAUCGUUGUUUUUAUUGCAAAUCUCAAAUUGCGGAGUACAGAGGCAAAUCAAUAAAUGAUGGGUCCUUGUCCCAAACAUUAUGUAGGGCACCGUAUUCCUUAUAUUAAAAUGUGUUUAAUUUCAUCUCUUUUGUUCUCUACAGGUUUCUGCCUUUGCUGCUGACGUUGAGAGGUCCUUGACUUUGCCUGACAGUCCUUGAUUGACUGUUCGUGGUAUGCAUGUGUCCGGUGGAAGUCGCUGACAAGUCGCUGGAUGGUGACCAUAGAGAGCCAAGUGUUGACCGAGGGGGAGUCAUUCACAUUGGGGCUUGCCACACUGGUUUCCUGCUUCUAUAACUUCAACCUGCAGUAUCAGGAUGGUGCUUGCUGCACAUUGGAGUUCAUCCAGAGAUUUUUUAUUGGUAUUAACCCAGAGCGUGGGUUCAAAGCUCGGCAGGGGAAGGUCAGUAGCAAGCGUUCUGGGAAGGUGGUCCAGAAGAAACAGACAUCCCUUAAUCCUCAUGUGUGCAUCUUCAUGAGGAGACUUAUGGACUUUCAGUGGGUCUUUGUCUAAUGUUUUUCUAAUGUUGCUAAUAUUCAAAUUUAUUCAUUUAUUUGCCUCUGUACUACACAAUUUGAGAUUUGUAGCAGAUAUGGAUGGAUCACUGCCAGGGUUGCGUCUCCUGAUUAACUGUCCUACUGAACCCAAUGGAAAAAUGAUCUGGCAGCAGCAUGAUGGCUUGAGGUUCAUCUGAUACUUUGGACCCUCGAUGACUUAAAGCCAUUUAGCCAACACAUGUGUUCUAUACUGUAUCAGUAUAAUUUACACCUGAAUCUCAUCCCACCCCCCAAUUCCCAUAGAGAUCCAUUCAAGAGUUUUAUUAUUGAUUGUAGGACAACCUGAAAAUAAGAUAUCCAGAUGAUAGGUCAUAGACAUCAGGAAGUCAUGGCAUGCAAAGGAUAUGCAACCAAAUACUGAACAUCACUACUUUCAUUUACAUAACAUUGCUGUCCCAAACAUUAUGCUGCCCUAAAAUUGGGGGGACUACGUAAAAAAAGGGCUGUAAUUCCUACUCGGUUCACCCGAUAUGGAUGUAAAUACCCUCAAAUUAAAGCUGAAAGUCUGCACUUUAACCACAUGAUUUUGUAUUACAAUCUCAAAUUGUGGAGUACAGAGGCAAACAAAUAAAUGAUGGGUCUUUGCCCCAAACAUUAUGGAGGGCACUGUAUAUGUUUUGACUGAAGUUUUUGUUUAGUGUGUUCUACAGUCAAUGAGAUCAGGGUUUGAGUUGACCUUAAGUCAGUCUAUUUAGAUUCUGUACCCCAAAUAAGUUUUUUAAAAAUCAUAUUGCAGUUUUAUUUUUGAAAUUCCAAGCACUUCACUUUGUGAAAAACUGAAAUGU